ACCCAGGAGGGGUCUGUGUCAUGUGUUUCUCGUGGCCCCGCCAACCCAGGAAGAGUGGUCGUUAAGAGCAUGUUGGAUUCUGUGGGACUCGGAAGAGGUGCCUGAACUUCCCUGUGCUUUUGAAGUCAAGGGACUCCUCCCAGUGAUUAGGAGCAGUGGAACCGUCCGGAUCCUGCCCUUGGUCCAUGCCUUUGGCCUUUGGUCAUGUAGUGGCGGCCCUUUGGGCUCUGCCAUUUGUGUUUCAGAUCAUCAGUUCUGCUAUGUGAAUGGGCAGGACUCUCCAUCGCCUUGGCAAGACAAGGUGCUCCUCGUCCAGGAAGUGUUAGGAGUCCUAGGAGCCAGUUCCUCCCAUGGGAUGUGGGCUCCGGAUGGAGGACAGAGUCUCUUCAGGGCCCUCCUGGGCUACUGAAAUGGUCCAAGAAAACCCUUCAAGUUGACUUCCCUUCUCUAAUAUUCAAUUUUCUUGUCCAUCCAGUGGAAGAGUUGGAGUUGAUACUUGAUCCAUUUCAGCUCUAACUUACUAAAGUCUGUGAUGGCUCUGGACCUUCACGUUUCAGGACCAGGCCUGGUCCUUCUCAGCUCUCACACUGAAGCCUCAGAACCAGCCUCACUUGGAGGGUGGUCUUCAGCUCCCAGCCAAAAGCCUCGCUUGAACCUCCUCACACUUCAAAGACAAGGAUGGUACCCGCAUGCCACUCAGCCCUUGGAAGGGAGAAACAGUUUGGCAAAGGCCACAGAAUGGACCUCGUCUCCUUACACCGAGCCCAGGGCUCCAUUCAGCAGCCACCUUUCCACCCCCACCCCCAUCUCCUCCCCUCACCCCGAUAUGCAUCUACAUGGCUGCAAACAAGAGCAGCCAAGUGUAGGACCUCCACCCACUGCCAUCAGCAGACACUCAAGUGGACAGGCUGGACUGGAGAACAAGAACAAGAAAGAGAGUUCAGAAGAAGGUCACCAGAGGCUUGAAACAGAUUGACCAAACUUGACAGUGGGACAACGACUCAUAAAAGGGUGUUGUGAAGCCAGAUCAACUCAAUGACCCCCAAAGAAACUGCGGACUUCAAGAAACUUGCGUGACUUCAGCUUCAGAAAUACUCUUCCAUGGUGUAGAAAACACACCGCCCCCAAUACCCUGCCCACAGUGGGAUUCCUUAUUCUGUCCUUCUCGUGCCAGAAGAACGACCUCCAGUGCUUCUACCCUUUAAACACUUUUGCCAGAAACCCGAAUUCAUGAAAAGCGUGUUUAUCGCUUCACAGUUUUACGCAUUUUGUUAAAUGUGAAAGUCAGAACAAAGCAUCAAAAUACGUCUAUAGAGCUCCUGUCGUGGCUCAGGGGUUAAUGAAUCCACCUAGGAACCAUGAGGUUGCAGGUUCGAUCCCUGGCCUCGCUCAGUGGGUUAAGGAUCCAGUGUUGCCGUGAACUGUGGUGUAGGUCCCAGAUGUGGCUCGGAUCUGGCGUUGCUGUGGCUCUGAUGUAGACUGGUGGCUACAGCUCCGAUUCAACCCCUAGCUGGGGAACCUCCAUAUGUCACAGGUGCUGCUGCCCUAGAAAGACAAAAAAAAAAAAAAAAAGUGUAUAACAUUAAUGAAUACUUUUGUACUAUUAGCCCUCACCUUGAAACAUCGUUAGAAAUUUUCGUCUUUGUUUUUAACCAGAAAGAAGAGCUGAGAGAUUCUGUUUGGGUUCUGAUUACUGUUCAUCACAAAUGUGAUAAUGAGGAUGACCUCCGUUAAGAUGGGUCUCAUCUGACUGAUGGGUGAGGGAUGUUGAGAGGAGGCUGGACCUGGAGCAGAAGGUGGGGGGUGGGGAGAAGGGCAUGAGAUGCUGCGAGCCAGCCACAUCGCAUGGCUACUCAACCAGCCCCUCUGCCUCCCAACAGCUGGAGUUAAUAUUUAAUGAAGAUUUUUAUAUGAUAACAUGUAAAUUCAGAGUUGCAAAAUUUUCUUUAACCCUGAAUUAGAAUAUGCUACUGGUA
rnacentral:lncRNA from 1 species